rnacentral:rRNA from 1 species
CUGGCUCAGAACGAACGCUGGCGGCAGGCUUAACACAUGCAAGUCGAACGCCCCGCAAGGGGAGUGGCAGACGGGUGAGUAACGCGUGGGAAUCUACCGUGCCCUGCGGAAUAGCUCCGGGAAACUGGAAUUAAUACCGCAUACGCCCUACGGGGGAAAGAUUUAUCGGGGUAUGAUGAGCCCGCGUUGGAUUAGCUAGUUGGUGGGGUAAAGGCCUACCAAGGCGACGAUCCAUAGCUGGUCUGAGAGGAUGAUCAGCCACAUUGGGACUGAGACACGGCCCAAACUCCUACGGGAGGCAGCAGUGGGGAAUAUUGGACAAUGGGCGCAAGCCUGAUCCAGCCAUGCCGCGUGAGUGAUGAAGGCCUUAGGGUUGUAAAGCUCUUUCACCGGAGAAGAUAA